AGUGAACGCUGGCGGUAGGCCUAACACAUGCAAGUCGAACGGCAGCACAGUAAGAGCUUGCUCUUACGGGUGGCGAGUGGCGGACGGGUGAGGAAUACAUCGGAAUCUACUUUUUCGUGGGGGAUAACGUAGGGAAACUUACGCUAAUACCGCAUACGACCUACGGGUGAAAGCAGGGGAUCUUCGGACCUUGCGCGAUUGAAUGAGCCGAUGUCGGAUUAGCUAGUUGGCGGGGUAAAGGCCCACCAAGGCGACGAUCCGUAGCUGGUCUGAGAGGAUGGUCAGCCACACUGGAACUGAGACACGGUCCAGACUCCUACGGGAGGCAGCAGUGGGGAAUAUUGGACAAUGGGCGCAAGCCUGAUCCAGCCAUACCGCGUGGGUGAAGAAGGCCUUCGGGUUGUAAAGCCCUUUUGUUAGGAAAGAAAAGCAGCAGGUUAAUACCCCGCUGUUCUGACGGUACCCAAAGAAUAAGCACCGGCUAACUUCGUG
rnacentral:rRNA from 1 species